GUUCCACCAUGUCUUCCUCAAUAGGUUCCACCAUGUCUUCCUCAAUAGGUUCCACCAUGUCUUCCUCAAUAGGUUCCACCAUGUCUUCCUCAAUAGGUUCCACCAUGUCUUCCUCACUAGGUUCCACCAUGUCUUCCUCAAUAGGUUCCACCAUGUCUUCCUCAAUAGGUUCCACCAUGUCUUCCUCACUAGGUUCCACCAUGUCUUCCUCAAUAGGUUCCACCAUGUCUUCCUCACUAGGUUCCACCAUGUCUUCCUCAAUAGGUUCCACCAUGUCUUCCUCACUAGGUUCCCCCAUGUCUUCCUCACCAGGUUCCACCAUGUCUUCCUCAAUAGGUUCCACCAUGUCUUCCUCAAUAGGUUCCACCAUGUCUUCCUCAGUAGGUUCCCCCAUGUCUUCCUCACUAGGUUCCACCAUGUCUUCCUCACUAGGUUCCACCAUGUCUUCCUCAAUAGGUUCCACCAUGUCUUCCUCAAUAGGUUCCACCAUGUCUUCCUCAAUAGGUUCCACCAUGUCUUCCUCAAUAGGUUCCACCAUGUCUUCCUCACUAGGUUCCACCAUGUCUUCCUCAAUAG